rnacentral:rRNA from 1 species
UACGUAGGGUGCAAGCGUUGUCCGGAAUUAUUGGGCGUAAAGAGCUCGUAGGCGGUUUGUCGCGUCUGCUGUGAAAACUCAGGGCUUAACCCUGAGCCUGCAGUGGGUACGGGCAGACUAGAGUGUGGUAGGGGAGAUCGGAAUUCCUGGUGUAGCGGUGGAAUGCGCAGAUAUCGGGAGGAACACCUGUGGCGAAGGCGGCCACCUGGACAACAACUGACGCUGAGACGCGAAAGCGUGGGUAGCAAACAGG